rnacentral:misc_RNA from 1 species
UGCAAGAAUGAGACUCCUGAUCCAGUU